AAUCUGCCCUUGGGUCGGAAUAACUCGCCGGAAGGCGUGCUAAUACCGGAUAAUGUCGCAAGACCAAAGAUUUAUUGCCCAAGGAUGAGCCCGCGUAGGAUUAGCUAGUUGGUGAGGUAAAGGCUCACCAAGGCGACGAUCCUUAGCUGGUCUGAGAGGAUGAUCAGCCACACUGGGACUGAGACACGGCCCAGACUCCUACGGGAGGCAGCAGUGGGGAAUAUUGGACAAUGGGCGAAAGCCUGAUCCAGCAAUGCCGCGUGAGUGAUGAAGGCCUUAGGGUUGUAAAGCUCUUUUACCCGGGAUGAUAAUGACCGUACCGGGAGAAUAAGCUCCGGCUAACUCCGUGCCAGCAGCCGCGGUAAUACGGAGGGAGCUAGCGUUGUUCGGAAUUACUGGGCGUAAAGCGCACGUAGGCGGCUUUGUAAGU
rnacentral:rRNA from 1 species